rnacentral:rRNA from 1 species
AUUGAACGCUGGCGGCAUGCUUUACACAUGCAAGUCGAACGGUAACAGGCCUUCGGGCGCUGACGAGUGGCGAACGGGUGAGUAAUGCAUCGGAACGUGCCCAGUCGUGGGGGAUAACGCAGCGAAAGCUGUGCUAAUACCGCAUACGAUCUGCGGAUGAAAGCGGGGGACCUUCGGGCCUCGCGCGAUUGGAGCGGCCGAUGUCAGAUUAGGUAGUUGGUGGGGGAAAGGCUCACCAAGCCAACGAUCUGUAGCUGGUCUGAGAGGACGACCGGCCACACUGGGACUGAGACACGGCCCGGACUCCUACGGGAGGCAGCAGUGGGGAAUUUUGGACAAUGGGCGCAAGCCUGAUCCGGCAAUGCCGCGUGCAGGAAGAAGGCCUUCGGGUUGUAAACUGCUUUUGUACGGAGCGAAAAGGCUCCCUCUAAUACAGGGGGCUCAUGACGGUACCGUAAGAAUAAGCACCGGCUAACUACGUGCCAGCAGCCGCCGUAACAC